UACGGGGGGGGCAAGCGUUGUUCGGAAUUACUGGGCGUAAAGCGUGCGUAGACGGUAGCGUAAGUCGGGUGUGAAAGCCCCGGGCUCAACCUGGGAAUUGCAUUCGAGACUGCUCUGCUAGGGUGCGGAAGAGGGAAGCGGAAUUUCCGGUGUAGCGGUGAAAUGCGUAGAUAUCGGAAGGAACACCAGUGGCGAAAGCGGCUUCCUGGUCCAGCACCGACGUUCAGGCACGAAAGCGUGGGGAGCAAACAGG
rnacentral:rRNA from 1 species